rnacentral:rRNA from 1 species
CCUACGGGUGGCAGCAGUGAGGAAUAUUGGUCAAUGGGCGCGAGCCUGAACCAGCCAAGCAGCGUGAAGGAUGACGGCCCUAUGGGUUGUAAACUUCUUUUAUACAGGAAUAAAGUGAGACACGUGUGUCUUUUUGUAUGUACUUUAUGAAUAAGGAUCGGCUAACUCCGUGCCAGCAGCCGCGGUAAUACGGAGGAUUCGAGCGUUAUCCGGAUUUAUUGGGUUUAAAGGGAGCGUAGAUGGGUUGUUAAGUCAGUUGUGAAAGUUCGCGGCUCAACUGUAAAAUUGCAAUUGAUACUGGCAGGCUUGAGUUCAGUUGAGGUAGGCGGAAUUCGUGGUGUAGCGGUGAAAUGCAUAGAGAUCACGAAGAACACCGAUUGCGAAGGCAGCUUACUAAACUGCCACUGACGUUGAGGCUCGAAAGCGUGGGGAGCAAACAGGAUUAGAUACCCUAGUAGUC